rnacentral:piRNA from 1 species
UUAUAUACUAAGGCACAUAACAUGAAAGU